rnacentral:rRNA from 1 species
GUGAGGAAUAUUGCGCAAUGGAGGCAACUCUGACGCAGCCAUGCCGCGUGCAGGAAGAAGGCGCUACGCGUUGUAAACUGCUUUUAACCGGGAAGAAACCCCAGGACGUGUCCUGGGUUGACGGUACCGGAGGAAUAAGCACCGGCUAACUUCGUGCCAGCAGCCGCGGUAAUACGAAGGGUGCAAGCGUUAUCCGGAUUCAUUGGGUUUAAAGGGUGCGUAGGCGGAGCGUUAAGUCAGUGGUGAAAUCCUGCAGCUUAACUGUAGACUUGCCAUUGAUACUGGCGCUCUUGAGUGCGCUUGAAGUGGGCGGAACGUGCCGUGUAGCGGUGAAAUGCUUAGAUAUGGCACAGAACACCAAUUGCGAAGGCAGCUCACUAAGGCGAUACUGACGCUGAGGCACGAAAGCGUGGGGAUCGAACAGGAUUAGAUACCCCUGUAGUCC